AUAUCCAUAUACAUAAUAUUUCAGAAUAAUUGAUUUAUUUUGUUAUCCUCUGUAUUUUAUUUUAUGCAUUUAAAAGCAUUAUUUAGAGAAGAAACCCCGGGGUUUCCUCAGAUUGUCAAAGGGGUCCAUGACACAUGCAAAAAGGUUAAAAACUCUUGUACUAGAAGCAGAAAUGGUAGAGCAGGUCUAUGACUAUCACUCUCAGCCAUUUGGGUAGACAAGCAAAAUGGAACUUCCAGAGAUGUGGGGGGAAAGAAGCUUACUCUUCAAAGUUGGAAAGAGAAAAGAAGACCCUAUUUGUGGCUACAAAAGAGGAAGGGAGCCCAGCAAGGAAACUACCAGCAGAUGGUAAAUACAUUUUUAAUUCCUUCUGUCAUACUGUGUGGACUUGUGCACAUUUGUCCUGCUGUGUUAGGUGCCUGAAAUAGCCAGCCAUGGAACUGAGUAGCAGUUUUGCUUCUGUCUGAAAUUUGGGAAACUGUGCUAGGCUAACAGAAAUGGUAGACCUGAGAGUGAGACUAGGACAGGAUGGGUUUGCUUCCAGUUUUACUCUUCUGAAAAAUUUCAUGUGCUUCAGUUCUUAAUACAUUCAGAACUGAUUCCACAUCAUUUCUUCUCCUCCACUGUUAUGAAAGUAAAAUAAAUCAGAAUAUUUUGAAUUCUAGUCGUUUGUCAGUUAUAUUAGGAGAGUUACUUCUUUAAUGGAUUACAUCCUCAUGAUAACUGUCAGUGGUUAAGCCUUUAGAUUCAUUUAAUUAUAGAACCAAAGUCCUCUGAGGAGUGCCAUAGCCACAUGUAACAGCCCUAAGUUCAAGAUCUUACCUGACCCUCUGUUAUACUUUUUUCUUGAUAUAAUAUUUUCAUGGAAUACCACAAUCCUACUAAAAAUCAAGAAAAAUAUGGAUAUUUUGGGACAUAGCUAAUGUGAGAAUUUGUUACUCUUGGAUAAGUGUUAUAAUUCAUUACAUAUUUAUAACAAACCACAUGUGUUAUAUUAUUGUUAUGUUGCAUAUUAUGGUAUAUUUAAAAAAUAAAGUAAAUUUAAUUUAAAAAAUGAAAGCUUAAACUAAAUGUUAAAAAUCAAACAUGAUCUUGGAUAAUGCAGAGUGAAGAUUAGAAGAGUAGGCUGCUAAACAGACUUUUAUUGGCCCUACAGUAGAGUAAUUUCCCCAACACAAUAUUUGAAGCCAAUUCUUAGUAACCAAGUGCAAGGGAGAAAGUAUGAAGAUUUCAAUGUUGAAACAGCAACAACAGCACAACCAGGAUAGGUCAGAGGUAAGAGAAAGUGUGUCUACAUAAUAACUACCAAUGUUCCCUGUGGUAUUUUAAAAAGUAAGAUGCUGUGAUCUAAACCAAAAGCAUCAUAUGCAUUAUAUUUCAGAACUAAUCCUGUCUAAAUAGGUUAGUCAUUUUUACUCCAACACAAUUAUUCCUUUUAUUAAUUACAUUCAUUGCACAAACUAAGAAUAUACAAUUUUUGUCAGAUAUGAUAUUUACUCCACAUUUUAACUACCUCAGCAAUCAAUUGUGUUUAUAAAAUAGCAAUAUAUCUUUAUCUAUCUAGAUAGAUAUAGAGAGAUAGAUGCUGCCCAUAGUCUCUCAGAAAGAUUAAUAUUAUUUUUGUUUUGUUAUUUUCCACUCAGGAAUUUCAUUAUUAUAAGGAACUCUGGGCACUAUAGAAGUGUGCCCUUCUCAGCAGAGCAGAAACUGUGUUCCCAGGGAGAACUCCUACCAUACUACAAAGAGUAAAUUGGAAGUCAUAUGACACAAUAUACUCCCAUUUCUAUCCCCUUCCCCAGCUCAUCUUUCUGAGGAUUCAACAGGGGGAAAAGUCUUCUGUCUUCUUCACAUCAUAAUGAAAAGAACACCCAUAGUGCAAGUGUCCCAAAGGAAAAAGCCAAAAACAAUGUAAUCUAUUAGGAAAUCAGAAGAAACAUUAUGCUGAAUCCCCUCUUUAAAUAGAGGUCCUGAAACCCAUGAUCCUGCCCUCCAAUCAAAGGAUCCAGGAGAGGGACAGAAGGCCCUGAUGAGAUAUAUAUCCGCCUUAACAAUGGAUCAUCCUCUGGAUCAUGGAUUUGCUGGGGGAAAUCAUCAUGACUUGAACCCAAACUUACUUCUCACUCAUCCUCAUUUUGUUCCUAUUUAUGAUGAAAUUUAUAAAAUACUUAUGUCCAUAGAGUUUCUUUUUUGCAAGUCAAUAGUGUACAGAAUACAAUAUCAGCACAGAAGACAACAGUGAAGACAAUAACAAUCUGGGAAUCAAAGGAUGUGAGUUCAAUCCUAGCUCUGCCAGGAAGUCCUCCCCAAACCCUUUUCAUUCCCAUUGUUAAUUAUUUCCUAUAUUUCUUGGAUAUAGUUUGCUUUGAAUAGAUUUGAUUGUAUAUUGUCUCUCCUCCAUUAGAAUUUAAGCUCCUUGAAGGCAAGAACUGUCUUUUUGCUUUGUUGUAUAUCCUCUGCACCCAGUGCUUGGCACAAAGUUAAGUAGGUCCUUAGUAAAUAUUGAUUGAUUGAUUGAUUAACCAUAAGCAAACAUGAAAUCUCAAAGGGUCUCAGUUUCUCUUCAAAAUGAGGAUGAAUUCUAAGGACUAUUCCAGGUCUAAAUCUAUAAUCCUAUCAUAAACAAAAAGAAAAAUAAUACUAAAUGUGAUGUAAUUAUAAUUUUUGACCAAGAUUGAUGAGAAAAAAAUUGAGAAAAUGUACUUCCCUCUCUUCUUUAUAGAAGUGUAACAUUGUAUGGUUACAUAUAUUUGUCAGACACAGCUAACAUAUUGGUUAUUUUUGUAGAAUUGCUUUUCAUUUUUCUCUUUCUCUUUAAAUCUUUCCUUGAAGGUACUGCUAUGAGUGGGACCCAUUUGGAAAUAAAUGUAAUUCAAAAAAAAAAAGAUUUUCAUUAAAAAUAAGAUAAUAUUUUAAAAAUAAAACAGGCAGGAGGCAGCUGGGUGGCUCAGUGGAUUGAGAGCCAGGCCUAGAGAUGGGAGGUCCUGGGUUCAAAUCUCACCUCAGAUACUUCCUAGCCCUGCGAUCCCUGGUCACUUAACCCUCAUUGCCUAGCCCUUAAUCACUCUUCCGCCUUGGAACCAAUACACAGAAGAUGAGGGUUUAAAAAAAUAAAUAAAGAAAAUGAAAGGGGCAGCUGGGUGGCUCAGGAAAUAGAGAGCCAGGCCUAGAGACUGGAGGCCCUGGGUUCAAAUGUGCCUCAGACACUUCCUACCUUGUAAUCCUGAACAAAUCACUUAACCCCCAUUGCAUGACCUUUCCUGUUUUUCUACUUUGGAACUAAUACUUAAUAUCUAUUCCAAGGCAGGAAAAAAAAAGGUUUUUUAAAAAAUAAUGGUAAUAUGUAUAAAAAAUUAAAAAAUGCCAAUAUUCAAACAAGUUAAGCUAAAUUGAAAGCCAUUUUUUUAGUCCUUGCUUUAGAUGAGUGUGAAAUAAUAAAGGAGUCACAGAUAAUUAAUCAACCACUAGAAAAUUAAACCCAUCUGAAGCAACAGCUAAUAUGUGCAGUUUAAAAAAAAUUAAUUAAUUUGUUCCAUUCAAGUUCUUUUGUAAGGGGCCCACUUGACGUUUCAACUUCUCUGGCCAUCCCUUAGCUUGUUGAAAAUGUAAAGUGUGCACUCUCUAACUCUGGCUAGUUGCUUCAGAAGAAAUGUCUCUCCACACUAAAGGCCAAAAGGCCCUGAUCUCAUGUUCUAUUGUAGCACUUUGUGAGUCAGAACUGGAAAGAAUGAGGUUAGCUGGACCAAGAUCAGGUGUACUUUUCUUAUCUGGCCUGGAACAGCUCUAAGUUCUAAUACUUGGCAGAGGCUUGAAGAGCAGUGAUGAAACACUCCAGAAAACUAAAGAAAACACUAAAGAAUACAACCUUUGCUUUAUUCUCGCUAUAUGUUCUGUGUGGUUGCAGCCAGAAAUUCCGUUGGCUGCCUCCAUGGAAGGUGCUCUUCCUGCUUCCUGGUCUCAGGCAGCUGUUGUGUGGUAGGAGGCCAGAAACUGCUUCCCAAGAGGGUACACAGAGAAAAUUGAAUAAGAUCAAAAUUACAAUUCCCUUCAGGGGCCCAUUUGCUAUGAUUUUCCUAAAACAAACAAUCACAUGCAGCAAGCCUGCCCAAGCGAGAAAAUGGUUUUGCAUGUGUGACUUUGUGCUUCAUUGACAAUUCCACUGCUAAGACUACUCCUAUUACUAAAUAUCGUGUAAUAAGGCCAGGAAAUUCUUAAAGAUAAAAAUAAUCAUCUCUAUCUCUUUGCAGUGGUUUUUAGUACUAAAUUUGCAUUUGUAUAGGCAGAAAGACCUCCAGAGUUGGGUGACUGGCAAGUCUGAUGAAUUAGGGUACAAUGAAAAGAACACUGACUCUGGACUCAGAGAACUUGGCCUGGAUUCAAAUGCUACCUCCCUGUGACCCUUAACUGGGGCAGCUGGGUGGCACAGUGGAUUGAGUGUUAGGCCUUAUUUAUUUCCAAAUGGCUCCUACCUGCAGUUGUAUCAUGAGAGAAAUAUUUAGAGAAAGAGAAAAGUUAAAAGCAGUUCUGUGAAAAUAAGAUUCAUCUUCCUGAGUUUAAAUCUGACCUCAGACACUCACUUGCUGUGUGACCUUGGGCAAGCCAUUUAAUCUUGUUGACCUCAGUUUCCUUAACUGUAAAAUGAACUGGAGAAGGAAAUGGUAAGCCACUCCGGUAUCUUUGUCAAGAAAACUCAAAGUGGGAUCAGGAAGAGUGAGAAAUAACUGAAAUAACUGAAUAACACAUGACCCUUAAUUGCCUGUGUGAUCAUGGACAAGUCAUUAAUAUUCAUGGACCUCAGUUUCCUCAUCUGUAAAAUAAGCCCUUAUUCUCUGACCCUUUGAGAUAGUUCACUAGUUUGGAAAGAAAUUCCCAAAUACUGACAGAAUCCUUAGGUAUAUUUGAAGCAUACAUUAAUUUGGCAAAAUUAGUAAUAACAUUAAUUUUGUUUUCUGUUCUCUUUAAGUUAAUAAGUGAGUAAGAUUUUAAAUAAAAACUACAAAAAAGCAA